GACGAACGCUGGCGGCGUGCUUAACACAUGCAAGUCGAGCGGUAAGGCCCUUUCGGGGGUACACGAGCGGCGAACGGGUGAGUAACACGUGGGUGACCUGCCCUCAGCUCUGGGAUAAGCCUGGGAAACUGGGUCUAAUACUGGAUAUGACUCCACGGUGCAUGUCGUGGGGUGGAAAGCCUUGUGCGGCUGAGGAUGGGCCCGCGGCCUAUCAGCUUGUUGGUGGGGUGAUGGCCUACCAAGGCGACGACGGGUAGCCGGCCUGAGAGGGCGACCGGCCACACUGGGACUGAGACACGGCCCAGACUCCUACGGGAGGCAGCAGUGGGGAAUUGUUCGCAAUGGGCGCAAGCCUGACGACGCAACGCCGCGUGGAGGAUGAAGGUCUUCGGAUUGUAAACUCUGUUGACCGGGACGAAUGGGCUCCGACCAAAUACGUCGGGGCAUUGACGGUACCGGUUGAGGAAGCCACGGCUAACUCUGUGCCAGCA
rnacentral:rRNA from 1 species